CGGACGGGUGAGUAAUGUCCGGGAAACUGCCUGAUGGAGGGGGAUAACUACUGGAAACGGUAGCUAAUACCGCAUAACGUCGCAAGACCAAAGAGGGGGACCUUCGGGCCUCUUGCCAUCGGAUGUGCCCAGAUGGGAUUAGCUAGUAGGUGGGGUAACGGCUCACCUAGGCGACGAUCCCUAGCUGGUCUGAGAGGAUGACCAGCCACACUGGAACUGAGACACGGUCCAG
rnacentral:rRNA from 1 species